rnacentral:rRNA from 1 species
UACGGAGGGUGCAAGCGUUGUUCGGAAUUAUUGGGCGUAAAGGGCGCGUAGGCGGUAAUGCUAGUCAGAUGUGAAAUACUCCGGCUCAACCGGGGAACUGCAUCUGAAACUGCAUAACUAGAGUACAGAAGAGGGAAACGGAAUUCCCUGUGUAGAGGUGAAAUUCGUAGAUAUCGGGAGGAACACCAGUGGCGAAGGCGGUUUCCUGGUCUGAUACUGACGCUGAGGCGCGAAAGUGUGGGGAGCAAACAGGAUUAGAUACCCUGGUAGU